AUUUCGAGAGGAUUUUCCGGAGAUUGCAGCUUGUGCAAUUCGCUUAUGCGCAAUAAUAAUCGAUGGAAUUUCGUAAAGUCCCGAUAAUGUUUUAAUAAAUUGGUCAUUAUCGAACUUAUUAGGCCAUGGAUGUUACGACACAAUACCGCCAGCAUUUAUUUGCAUAAACGAUUGGAAAUCUAUAUAAACAAUCGAUUCAAUAACAAUAAAAAACACUCUACUGGAUGAGUACCCCUAUAAUACCUGUUUAUAUAAAUUACAGACUGACAUACUUGCGCUUCAGUUGUAUUUUUUCUGCUGAAUUACACAAACUAACAGUUAUAAUUUGAUAAUCAGUUUCAGGAAGAUGUCUCCAUCCGUUAAAUUUAUGUUUCUAAUUAUGGCGAUGUGUGUACUCAGCGAUGCGUCGAUACUGAAAACAGCAUCAUCCAAUCAGGGCGACUGUUUAUGCGAAAACUGUAUCUGCAAAAGCCGAUUCAGUUGCAGACAAGACCAAAUGCAAAAUUUGUAUUGCCCGGGAUCUUUCAUUUAUGUGUGCUGUAAGGAGGACUCGGACUCUAACGACAUCACGCCUUAGGACCGGCGCCAAUGCAAUUCGAGUGAAAUAAAGUUUGUUUUAAGCACUCA